UUCUUAAAAAUCCUGAGACGUGCACAAACUUUGAAAUAUAAAUUGCCAAACUUUGGUAUGCAAAUGAGGCGAAAUCAGAACUACGCAAUUCUCGAGCGCAGAAACAAUAUCGCUUCGGCUUAUCUGGGCCGAAAAGUGGUCUACCUGGCCAACAGAUCAGCGUUUAUUCCAAUCAGCUCGAUCUCUACAAAACACGUAGCCCGCAAACACCCUUUCCCUCUUUUUUGGGCUCGAGAAGUGUGUGGUUUUAGCUUAGCAAAAUUUUGCGAUUUGUAUCUUGAAGCACGUGCUCACAUCAGGAUACUGUAUUUAAAAUAGAUUGAUAUUUUAAAAAAAGGAAAAAAUGGCUGGCUCUGAUUCUACUACUUAUCUCACAAUUCCCCCAAAACACUUAAUGAAUUUUUAAGUAGCUCCAUGCUCUUUCCCACAGGAUGUCUGCACAACCCACCUAUGAAAACCACAUCUAGGUAGCUCACACAGCCCUAUUCUGAAAAUUCUGAAAAGGAUUAAAAAAAAUGCCCUGUACACAGGGAUAAUUUCUACUAUGGCAUCAUGGAUGAGGAAAGCAGUGACAUUUUUGCAGCAUGUAUUGUACAAGAGUUUUAUUGGCAAAGAAGCAACAUGACAUGUCCUUCGCAAUAUCACACUUUUAGGCUCUGCAGUUCCUGAAGUAAUUCCUGUUCCUUCUUGAGCUUCUCCAACUGAAAUGUUGCCACACGAUUAUCAUCAUCCCUUUGAAAAUUGUCCUAAUUACCUGAUUGGCUUCUAGGGUGACCCCUUUCUGUAGCUGUUCCUUAAGGAUUGUGAUCUGCUGCAACUUCUGAAAAAUAAGGUCCUCUGGUGAUUUUUUUUCAAAGGCAUUUUCAGGGCUACCUUCUUGAUAUUCUUCAUCUUUCUUUCUCUGUUGACUUCUGGAGGUUUCUCUUGUUUCUCUUCUUUCCUGGCCCCUGGAGGCCUGUACACCUGCUUUGAUGCUGCAAGACAAUCAUAGUUGUAUGUCCUUCAAGUUCAGAUGCGCAAGAACGCGACUCGCUGCUCCAUCUCACAGAUGUGAUGGUAACUGUGCAUUGAUGGGCCACGACCAACGACGAAAGAAGGUGUGCUUUUGCAAACGUUAUUACCAUAAUACACAGUUUGAGGGCACCUUUAAGUUGCAAGCUGUCAUCUGCAAUGGCCAUAUUCUGCACUUUCAAAGUUCAAACUCCAACUGUCCAACCUUGAUGAAGUACAUCGUGGGACCCCACAGGAGUACGAGAUUGUGACAUCAAGUACGUUGUGGGAGAGACUGCCAUUUGCAGUUUAUGCAAAGAAUAACUAUAUAUGCUGUCACCAAUGUUGUCACCAGUGGAUCCUUCUGUUCAGCUUGCAGUAAAAAACUUUAAUGACUGGAGGACACUUCCUGGAGGUAUCCAGUCAAGUAUUUGUUGCUCUAUAGCAUUUUCAGGAGUAUCUAUGUUUCGUUAGAACACCAGUCAAACAGACCCUGAGGCUGGGACGACUGUAUUCCAGCUACUGGAACGUAAGUGAUGGGUUUGGCCUCGAAACUGCCUCCUGGCUGCCACUGGGCAUCCCACAGCUCCUCGUUUGCUGGCCACAUGUAUUCGUGUUGAAGACUGCCCGUGUAGUGCCACACCUUCAUCCUGCCAAAGAAGACACUUAUAUGAUGUGCUGGUACUCUACUGAGAACCUAGUUCAAUCACUGCUAAUACUGUCAAUGCUUCUUUCGAAAUGGACGAGACAAAAAUACACAGGACAGAACCAAUGCCACCUCGGUUAAAUAGGGCCAGAUCUCUUAUUGAUGUGACAUAGGAGCCAUGUCCCAAACAGGACUCUUUCAAUCAUAGCCAUAGUGACAAGCCACUAUCAGCCACAUAAGCAGCCACUGUAUAGCCACAAGCUUUGUGCGUUUAAAAUUUGGGAUGAUGAUUGGCUGAAGCGGAUAGCAUCGGGACUUUAUAUGUCCAUGUAGUGAAGGGUGGAUGGCAAGCAUUGAACAGGCCUCCUUUAUACUAGGAGCUAGUGACAGAGGUGUCCAACAUACUGUUGACAUCACUUUCUGACUUCAAGGUGAGUUAUUUCAGCACACCAUAUGUCACUCACUGACCCGUUAGCCACCCUGAGCCUCGGUGCUGUGGUAGCCGUCAGAUAAUGCUCUCCAUCGGGGCUCCACUCCAAAAGGGUGGAAUCAGACGCUUGACUCUUGGACACGAGUUUCUGCGCCUUAACGUCCCACACUUCCACGUUUCCUCGCAGGUUGCCGAAACCAGCAAGGAUCAGCAGUGCACACAAGGUCAAGGAUCCGCAACGGUGUUCUGGCCCUGCAUCCUUCAGGUCAGCAGUCUUUGGCACAGUUCGAAAUGGGCUAUUGAGUUACAGCUGAGGUCUGGCUUUCCUGGGUAAAAGAUCACUCCAACAGCGCAACCAAAAACAGGAGGUUUGUGGACGGCACUUCUCUUCUCCAAGGAUACAUCCGUAGACGACGCAGAAGUGGUCACACUGGGGACUCCAAGCCACACUAUAGAUGGGUCCCUCCUUGUCUGGAAAAGAAAGCCCCUCUUGACACGCAAGAAUAAUUGGGAACGGAAGGUGGGGUCUCACUUCUUUUGACGAUGGCUGUGUCUCCAGUUGUCCUGAGAAAGUGAAGCCCUUGAUCUCCAUAAUAGGAGGCACCUGUCUUGUCUACAUCUGUACUUGUCAGCAGCAGUAAACCCUUGCCUGAAUCCGAGCAUAAUA